GAAAACACAGAAUGGACUUCACUAGCAGUCAAACGGUCGUCAAGCGCGGAGCGCGAAAUGUUGUCUGCUCUAUGUUUUUGUUGUGACUGAAUUCACAUGCAUUUCGGUGGAUAUUCGCAUUCAAUGGUCAUAAAACAUGAGGAUAACAUCAAUAUAUGCUACUUUUUCAGUGAUGCAGAAAGAGCAAAAUAAUAACAGGAAAAACAGCAUGUCAUGACGACAGCAUAAAAAUGACAAACAUGACUGCUUUAUGGAGGAGGGUUGUAAUUCUCCUUGUAGUUGUAAUCGCUAUUCUACAGAUGGUUGGAAGCCCAAGGUUUAGCAGAGAUGGAACGAGCGAGAUUCAAGUGGAAACAGAAAUGAAGAUAGAUAUUGUAAGAUAACAUUUGUACGCAUUCUUAUUGGAAUGUAGAUUUCUU